ACACGUUCUCACUCCCAACUCGUCAUAUACUGACGCUUGGUCAGGAACCCUCGGCGUCAGUUAUUGACGCACAGGGUACCCCUUUAGCGUCAUAUUUAGACGUGCAGGGAUUCCCUAUAGAAUCUGUGCCUGAGCCUGAGGCGUCAUAGGGAGACGCUGGAGGCUCGUAUAAUUACCAAUAGAUGUCAACAAACUUUUUAAAACCUGAUUUACGCCUAUUAUCACAGUUUUCUUAUUUUAAAAAUAUGUAAUUUUUAUUUUGUUUAUGAAAAGCGUCUGUAAACGGGGUCGAAACUACUGUAUGAAUAAACUUCGGCCCACGUGACAUCCCUUCACGGUGAGUUUAACGCCGCUCUGCUAUUGGUCAAACUGCAUCAGCGGUGAGUUCUCAGAUGAGUUCAACUGUCAACAUUAAAUAUUACGUUAAUGCUGCAUAAUAUAUUUUUUAUUGGAGAUUAGUUGGUGUUUAUAAAUAUGUUAUCAUUUACUUUAUAUUUAAUGAGUGAAAAUAUAUUCGGUUGUCCAGUUUAGGGUAACUAUGCCUAAUAAAACUUUGAUUCAUUCAUAUUAUUUAUUAUUUUUUUACUUUAAAAAAAAUAUUAAAUUUCAAGUACUAAGUUUAAAAAUGUUUUCGGCUGAUAUUUUUCAUUUUAAAUUAUUUAUUAAAGUUGGAGUCAUUGUAUGUGGCGAUCUAUUUUUUACAGUCUAUGCUCGCUAUCCCAAGGUUCAUUGCGAUCCCAAGGUUCACUGCGGUUUUCCACAAGCCUGUUUCUGCCUAUCACCAUGAGUGAUUCCUCAAUACUCAGAUUUAUCAUCAAGAUC
ensembl:lincRNA